CUAUAUUCCUUUAGUCUAAUACAAACGGCAUUUCAAUUCAUCCGCCAUCUCUUCCCUCUCUUGCGCCCAUUAUAUAUCCACAGCUUUUGAAUUUAUUUGCACAAACAACAAGCUUUUAAUUCACCGAUCAUGUCAUCAACGGAUAGAUCUUGGCUCUGUUUGAGGUUUGUUUUUGUGCUUUUUCUCGCAGUUUUCGCAAUGGCUUCCACGGCCGCUUGUGCCAGGCCUUUGAAGGUGGCAGAGCUCGGUUUUUUACUUGACAACCGCCUUCCACGGGGACCAGUGCCGCCUUCAGGGCCCUCUCCUUGCCAUAACAAGUUCAGCCAGAGCCAUACUGAUACCACCGAUUAUAUUAUAUGUCCAUAACAUAUAAACAGAGACAUUCUUUUUUUUUUUUCCCCUCAGAACUUUAGAAGAGAAAUCAGCCACAUUUUCUCUCUCUUUUCUUUUCUUUUCUUUUCUUUUCUUUUCUUUUCUUGUAUUUUAGGUUCGAUCUUCAUUUAUUCAUUUGUGAAGAUGGUAGCUCAAAGAUUUGUCCAAUUGUCUCAUAGUUAAGGAACUAUACAAAUUCACAAGACUGAACAUAUAUAGAAAAGAUAUGCGUUAAAGUCUCUAAGCUUUUUUGUUACAUUUUCUUUUCCAGACAUAAUUGUAGAUUUUUAUAGUGUAAUGGUA
rnacentral:lncRNA from 1 species